rnacentral:rRNA from 1 species
GUCGAGGGGUAACAGGAAGUGCUUGCACUUUGCUGACGACCGGCGCACGGGUGCGUAACGCGUAUGCAAUCUACCUUUUACUGAGGGAUAGCCCAUGGAAACGUGGAUUAACACCUCAUGGUAUUUUAAAUUGGCAUCAAUUUAAGAUUAAAGGUUACGGUAAGAGAUGAGCAUGCGUCCUAUUAGCUAGAUGGUAAGGUAACGGCUUACCAUGGCAACGAUAGGUAGGGGUCCUGAGAGGGAGAUCCCCCACACUGGUACUGAGACACGGACCAGACUCCUACGGGAGGCAGCAGUGAGGAAUAUUGGACAAUGGGCGAGAGCCUGAUCCAGCCAUGCCGCGUGCAGGAAGACUGCCCUAUGGGUUGUAAACUGCUUUUGUAUAGGAAGAAACCUUUCCUCGUGAGGAAAAUUGACGGUACUAUACGAAUAAGGAUCGGCUAACUCCGUGCCAGCAGCCGCGGUAAUACGGAGGAUCCAAGCGUUAUCCGGAAUCAUUGGGUUUAAAGGGUCCGUAGGCGGGUUUAUAAGUCAGUGGUGAAAGUCUGCAGCUUAACUGUAGAACUGCCAUUGAUACUGUAGAUCUUGAAUCAUUAUGAAGUGGUUAGAAUGUGUAGUGUAGCGGUGAAAUGCAUAGAUAUUACACA